UUCUAGAGUGUAAAGAUCUGGUAUUGGAGACAUCGAUAUUUCAGUAUCAGUCUGUUCAUCACUAUUAUUCAGAUCUGUGGUGGAACUCAGGU